AAACCGUCGGGGUCUGUGGGUGAAGCCCGUCCGCCAGCAAACAGCGCCGCUGGUUGAUAAGGAAUGGCAACGAGAACGACAACGACACACACCAAGGCACGCUCGUGUGCACACAGUUUGUGCAAAUGGAGUCUCCAUCUGCACACGGGAGAGGAGGAGGUGCAUUGCAUUUUCUCUCUCGACGCUGCAGCGCCAGUCUGUGUCCUCUCUUGCCAUUUUGCUCCCAGCGACCCUCCUCCUCUAUCCUGUCUUUGUGUUUCCUCUUCACCCACUUUAAUGUGGUUAAAAUUACGUUCCAUAGAUUCCGGGAGACACGCAUAAAGCAGCCGAAGGGAAGCUACAGCAAACGUACGGAAACGUACGGUGCGCAAGAAACGGCCAAGCAGUAGUGAGGACGUGGCAGGUGGUGGAAGAAGGUUAAAUGCAUCUCGCGCAUUCCCAUGAAUCAUCACCUUGGAAACGCAAACGAAACCAUCUCCGUUCCAACAUUCGUACGGAGCUGUGAAGGAAAGGAGCUCGUCCUCGGUUUACCAUUUGCCGGUGUUCUUCAUUCCAGUUCGAGUGAGCAGAAAGAACGAAAGAGGGAAAAAAGGCGUUCCACAAACGAUGGGGACCAACAAGCAGAGGAAAAUAGAAUAAAAACCACAUCAAAACCAACAAACGUAGCACCACACAGGUAAAAAUGUAACGUUCUGCACUCUUGUGUGAUUCUUUUUUUGUCCUUUUAUUAACUGUCUCCUCGUUCACACACUCCCGGCGUGUCUGGUUUUGAUGUGCGUUCUCUUUCGCUCGUUGUCCUCAAACCACCUUUCACUUUAACCCGUUCGGCAUC